GCUUGUCUCAAAGAUUAAGCCAUGCAUGUCUUAGUGUAAAUAACUCUUAUGAAACUGCGAAUGGCUCAUUAAAUCACACCUAAUCUACUGGAAAGUUACUAGUUACUUGGAUAACUGAGGUAAUUCUUGAGCUAAUACAUGCGUCAGAACCCAACUUUACGGAAGGGUCGUGUUUAUUAGAUACAAAACCAACAUCUCGUUGGUGAUUCAUAAUAACCAAGCGAAUCGUCGGUUUACCGACGAUAGAUCGUUCAAGUUUCUGACCUAUCAGCUUUGGUCGGUAGGGUAUUGGCCUACCGAGGCAAUGACGGGUAACGGAGAAUUAGGGUUCGAUUCCGGAGAGGGAGCCUGAGAAACGGCUACCACAUCUAAGGAAGGCAGCAGG
rnacentral:rRNA from 1 species